AUGGCGGAGCUGGCGGUGGGGCUGGCCAAGUCGGUGGUGGCGGGGACGCUGAGCAAGGCGCACGCGGCGGUGCAGGAGGAGGCCAAGCUGCGCCUCAGCGCGCGCCGCGACCUCGUCUUCAUCACGGGGGAGUUCGAGAUGAUGCAGUCGUUUCUCAACGUGGCCAACGCGGAGCGCGUCGAGAACCCGGUGGUGCGCACCUGGGUGCGCCAGAUCCGCGAGCUGGCCUACGACGUGGAGGACUGCAUCGAGCUCGUCGUCCACCUCGACAAGGGCAGGACCAGCUUCUGGUUCCGCCUCCGCCGGCUCUGCGUCCCCUGGGCGCGCCCGCCGCGCCCGCCCGCGCUGGACCAGGCGGUGGACGAGAUCGAGCAGCUCAAGGCCAGAGUCGCCGACGUCAGCACCAGGAACGCGCGCUACAGCCUCAUCAGCGACACCGGGUCCAAGCCCGUCCCGCAGCAGCAGCUGACGGCCGCCGCUGCCGCCGGCGACACGGUGGCCGCGUCCAACAUGCUCGCCGAGGCAAGGUAUGCCGCCAUGAGAGAGCAGGUCCUCGGCGGCGAUCUCACCCAGCUGCUCACCAAAGAAGCCGGUGACGACCAUGGUAGCCUUCAGCUUCAUGUGGUCUCAGUGUGGGGGUCAGCCGGUGACCACGGUGCCACAUCCAUCAUCACCAAGGCCUACAGUGACCCAGAGAUCUGCAGAAACUUCACCCGCCGCGCCUGGGUGAAGCUCAUGCAUCCUUUCAGUCCGCACGACUUCGUCCGGAGCUUGAUGCUUCAGUUCUGCGCAGAAGAAGAGCAACAAGAAGGAGCAGCUAUAGGUAUGGAUGUCCUAACAAUGAUGCAGGCCACCCAGGAGGACCUCUUCCUGGAAUUCCAGAAGGUGGUGACAGAGAAGAGUUACCUCGUCGUCUUGGAAGGCCUGUCAAACAUGGCGGACUGGCAUGCUUUGAGGAAGUUCCUUUUGGACAGGAGGAAGGGCAGCUGGAUCAUCGUGUCGACGCAGCAACCCGAAGUAGCAAGCUCGUGCAUCGGGCACCCGUACCAGAUACUGGAGCUCAAACAGUUCUCGCAUGAGCACUCUGUUUGUGCCCUCUUCAAGAAGGGUUCUGAUCGCGAUGGAGAUAAAGGCAAGAAACCAAUGGUGGAAGAUUCUCCCCUCAUUGGACGUGAGUCGCUACUGAAUCAACUUCGUCAGUAUCCAGCAAAAGCACGUAUAAACUCUAGGCAGGUGAUGUCUGUGUGGGGAAUAGCUGGCGUUGGGAAAUCAGCUCUCGUGAAAAAGUUGUACGAUGAUACAAUGCACGACACGAACCUAUUUGCAAAGUACCAUUGGGUGGAUAUAUCUCAUCCAUUCAAUUUAAAGGACUUCCAAAGGAACUUACCUCCGGAUUUUCAUUUUGAGGAAUCGGGUUGGCUCAUUGUUAUUGAUAAUGUCCAGUCCAAGAAGGAAUGGGACUUUAUACAAACUUCCUUGGUAAUACCUAAAUCUUCUAAGAGCGUUGUUAUUGUCAUCACAACUGAAGCAAGCAUUGCCGCAUAUUGUGCAAAUAGCGAAGAGCUUGUGUUUAAUGUCAAAGGUCUGGAAGCUGCUGCAGCCUCAACUCUCUUCGGAAAGAUCCAUGCUAGUGAGCAUACAACAAUAUAUCUUGUGGGCGUGCAGAUUGUGGGUUAUUUUGGUUGGUGUCUUUGCAACUCCACGCUCCUGAUGGUAUACAGGGAAAAAUCAUUAGACACAAGAGCUCUACAACAUACUCAAGUAGAAGAACUUACUUUGAAGUGUGGAGGUCUUCCCAAAGUGAUAGUUGCUAUAGCUGGCGUAUUGGCCAAACAAACGGUCACAAGGAUGGAUACUGUGGUUGCUUUGAAUCAGAGAUUUAUGCACCACCUGGAGACCGAGCCGGAUUAUGAUAGUCUAUGUGAUCUAUUUGGUUGGAUGCAUUCGUAUUUCCGGACUUGCCCUGAUUCAAUCAAGCCAUGUAUCUUCUACCUGUCGAUCUUUCCUCAAGACCGCCUCAUUCGGCGAAGGCGAUUAGUAAGGAGGUGGAUUGCAGAGGGAUACUCUAGGGAUGGCAACAAUGAAUCUGCAGAGGAGAAUGGGGAGAGGCAGUUCUCCGAGCUCCUUGAUCUGAGCAUAAUCCAGCAGGUGCCAAACUUAGUCACAAACCCAUUGAAUGCCACGAGAAUGGCGCUGUUGUGUCAGGUCAGUGGUUUUUUCCAUGAGUACAUCAUCCCAGGGCGAAAAGAAGACGACCUUAUGUUUGAGCUGGGGGCUAAUUGUGCCGUAACCACACAACGCACAGGGCGUCACCUUACCAUAUUGCAUGACUGGAAGAGAGACAAAAUUGUGUUUGAGAGCAUGGAUUUCUCACGGCUAAGAUCACUGACGGUGUUUGGCAAGUGGGAAUCAUUCUUCAUGUCUGAAAGUAUGAUGCUUCUUCGGGUACUUGAUCUAGAGGAUGCAUCAGGUGUGGAGUAUGAGGAUCUUGAGAACAUAUUAAAAUGGUUGCGUCGUCUCAAGUUCCUCUCACUACGAGGACGGCGUGAGAUAUACCAUUUACCAGAUAAUAUGGAUCAUCUGAGGCAACUGCAGACUUUGGAUGUCAGGAGCACCUCUGUACUCACCUUGCCAGAGAACAUCACCAAGUUGCAGAAGCUACAGUACAUACGUGCGGGCGCCACUGACCCAGCUGCAUCAGCACCACCCGCUCCAUCCUGCUGGUUCUUCAAACCUCGCCGUAUAGUUGGUGUUAAGGUGCCUAGAGGUAUUGGGAAACUGACGGCGUUGCACACGCUUGGUGUUGUCAACAUUGGUACUUCUGGUGGGAAGGCCAUGGCGAAAGCCCUGAAGAAGCUCACCCAGUUGCGCAAGCUUGGAGUGUCCGGCGUUAACAGGAAGAACAGCAAGGAUAUUUUCUCUGCAAUCAAGGGUCAUGUUCAUCUGGAAUCCUUGUCUGUCCAGCUUGACAAGGACAACCAAGGCUGUUGCUUGGAUGAUCAGAUAUCCUUGCCCUGGAAGAAUCUACGGAGUCUUAAAUUGUAUGGGCUUCAAGAUAGGUUGCCGUUACCAAGUGGCCUUGAAUAUCAGCAAGUAUUGAGUGACCAGUUUAGCAAACUCACGAAGAUGGAUGUGGAGAUGGACACUUUAAAUGAACAAGACAUUAAAUUCCUUGGUGAGGCACCGAAACUAUAUAUUCUUCGCCUCCGUAUCAAGGAGCCCAAUGGCCCCAGCCUAAAUUUUAUUGUUAAGAUAGACGCAUGCGCGUUGGCCGUCUACAAAAAGGUCAAGAUCCUCGAGAUUGGUUGCAGCUCUAGCUCAUUAUCAGUGGAAUUUGGAUCAGAGACGAUGAAAAAUCUUGAGCUGCUCAAGCUUGACUGUUCCAGUGGGACGACAUACGCUCUUGAUGGCUUGGAUUUUCUAUCUGAACUCAAGGAAGUCUUGCUUAUUGGUAGCAAUGAUGCUACAUUCAAGGCUGAACUGGCGGACAAACUUGGCAAACACCCAAAGAAACCUGUCUUGAAGAUGGAGGGAUUACCACUUCCGUCUUGA
rnacentral:rRNA from 1 species